GCACCAUUGUAGCUUCUUUUUGGAGGCCUUGCAGCCUUGUUCUGCUUGAAAGCAAAGCAGAUCUUCUGAGGUACGUUCAACAGUUGGGAGGUCAUCUGCACAGAGGAGGAGGUCAUCCACAUAUUGGUGGAGAACCACAUCAGUGUGAGUUUUUUGCCAUGGUUCCAGAAUGAUUGACAUGGCUUUUGCAAAUUGACUAGGUGAAUUUUGUGCUC